AACUUUUUAUAACUGUCAACAUAAUAUUAAAAAAGAUGGUAUUUAAUUGUAUGGCUAAUUGUUUAUUAAUUAUCAAGGUCCCGGGACGAAAGGUGAAGACCAGCCUCUGAAAUCUCCCAGUGAUGCUGAGAAUGAUGAAGACGUUUAUGAAAAUGAUGAGAUAGGACAGCAAUAUAAUGUAGCACCAUCAGAUAAUAACCUUG